rnacentral:rRNA from 1 species
GGCCAGACUCCUACGGGAGGCAGCAGUGGGGAAUAUUGCACAAUGGGGGAAACCCUGAUGCAGCGACGCCGCGUGAGUGAAGAAGUAUUUCGGUAUGUAAAGCUCUAUCAGCAGGGAAGAAAAUGACGGUACCUGACUAAGAAGCCCCGGCUAACUACGUGCCAGCAGCCGCGGUAAUACGUAGGGGGCAAGCGUUAUCCGGAUUUACUGGGUGUAAAGGGAGCGUAGACGGCAUGGCAAGUCAGAUGUGAAAGCCCGGGGCUCAACCCCGGGACUGCAUUUGAAACUGUCAGGCUGGAGUGCAGGAGAGGUAAGUGGAAUUCCUAGUGUAGCGGUGAAAUGCGUAGAUAUUAGGAGGAACACCAGCGGCGAAGGCGGCUUACUGGACUGUAACUGACGUUGAGGCUCGAAAGCGUGGGGAGCAAACAGGAUUAGAUACCCGCGUAAA